rnacentral:tRNA from 1 species
GCGUCGGUGGCACAGUGGUAGAAUGCUCGCAUACCACGCCUCAUUUGGUCCGGGGUUCAAUUCCCGGCUGACGCA